rnacentral:snoRNA from 1 species
GCUGCUGCUGCUGCUGUUGCUGCAGUUGCUGCUGAUUCUGCUGCUGCUGCUGCAGCAGCAGCAGCAGCUAGAAGAGAGGGAUCUGCAUCAUAGAGGCCUCCCAAA